AUCUUAUCAAGAGAAGCAGAGGGAUAUGGCCCGAUGAAGCUUCAGCAACCUCUAGCGCAGCUAGAAAGGUGCUAAUUCCAGCAAGGUGUAUGCCUUGAAAGAUAAGAG
rnacentral:ncRNA from 2 species